rnacentral:lncRNA from 1 species
CUUAUUACAUUUUGCCAUGUCAGCAUUAAAUUUUUCCCGUACUUAUGGGCUAUGACUUUAUUGAUGUACAAAUUACUAGUUGAAACUAACCAUAAUAUUGUUUGUAUUUAAGAAAACAGAGGCACUAAGUGCAAGAGGUGCUCGGCAAAGAUCACCCUCCUUGUGGAUGUGAAUCACACAAUCUGCAAGUAACCCCCUUUAUUCGGUUUCCAUCACGAAAAGAUCCAUCGGGUUGACGAAUAAAGGUCCAGGAUGUAUGCAUCAUCAGGGGCUUCGAACUUGAUCAGUAUAAUCUGGUCCAAGCAAUUUGAUCUUGUACACUUCNAAAGGUCCAGGAUGUAUGCAUCAUCAGGGGCUUCGAACUUGAUCAGUAUAAUCUGGUCCAAGCAAUUUGAUCUUGUACACUUCCAUGGAAGAUGCCUGAAACCGGACUCAAGUUCCAAACCAAAAGUUUAAAAAUGCUCAUAACAAAUCUUCCUC